rnacentral:rRNA from 1 species
UACAGAGGUCUCAAGCGUUGCUCGGAUUCAUUGGGCGUAAAGGGUGCGUAGGCGGCGCGGUAAGUCGGGUGUGAAAUCUCGGAGCUUAACUCCGAAACUGCAUUCGAUACUGGCGUGCUUGAGGACUGGAGAGGAGACUGGAAUUUACGGUGUAGCGGUGAAAUGCGUAGAUAUCGUAAGGAAGACCAGUGGCGAAGGCGGGUCUCUGGACAGUUCCUGACGCUGAGGCACGAAGGUCAGGGGAGCAAACGGG